CUCUUUCCGCUGCCAUGUAAGAAGUGCCUUUUGCCUCCCACUAUCAUUCUGAGGCCUUCCCACCCAUGUGGAACUCUGAACUCACAAGAAAAUAAGGAAGACCUCCUGGAGGGAAAACAAGCAAGAACUGAAAACAAGUGCCGUCAGUGAAUGGAAUGAGAUUUCUCAAGCAUGUACCCUGUGACAGUCACUUCACUAAAAAUCAGAAACUCAAACAUGGAACUGGAUGCUAGUUCUGUCCUCAAGAAGCUCAGAGUCUUUCAGAAAAAGAGGAGCCGUGAGACAAAUUACCAAGUGCAAGCUCAGAAGCCUUGCGUUUGUGGUGAGAGAUGAAGAGGGAGUUUGUAAAGAUGUGAAAGCAGGGUCUUUCUCCUUGAAGUUCUGGGGAGGAAUUGUAAAUCUGUUUGUCUAUUGCCAAAGAAUACUUGCCUUGGAAACUAGAGAGAGCCUCAGAUUCAGUCUCAGUGAUAAAGUGCUUCUAAACUGGGUCAGGGACAAAAACAAAGGACAGACGAUACCAUAAAUAAUGAACUUAUGGGGCAGAAAGUGUCAGCUCAAGUAUUUAGAGGCUCUCUACAAGGAAAAGGAAACUAGGAAUGUAAUGAUUUCAUGAGAGGUUUUGGAAGCCUUCAAAAUCAAUAAAUCAAUUAAUUAUUUAGUUCAGUACUUUUCUCUCUUACUAGCAUAUUAUGAUUUCCCCAACUUCAUCUCUCCCUGGUCAUAUCUGUCCUCUACAAUAUUCCAAGGUUGAUCUUUCUGGGAUAAUAUUUUGAUCUUGUUACUCUCCUUUUAAGAAUAAAGGUAAAAUUUAAAUGGUCAUUUGAGGUCAUUUUAACUGUAUUCUGUGUUUUAAGAAGCCCUCCAACUGAUUCUGAUGCAUAGUAAGUUUUGGGAAUUAAUCACUAUAUGGCUUAUCUCUUCCACAAAAGAAGUAUAUUCUCCCAGGACAAGAGUCUUCCCUAAUGCACCCCUGUAGCCCCUCAGCUCAGUGGCUAAGCACAUGGCAGGUGUUCAAGAAAUUAUGGAAAGGUAAGAUGCAUCUUCUGAGCAGAGGCUGCUUGUCAAGUGGAAGGCUGGGUGCUGUGAGGAAUAGAGGAGAAUUAGAUGAAUUACUGUGCAUUAGUUUAGAUUCUACUGGAGGCGACAAAACCAAGACAUACAGCAAGUGAGAAUAACUAAGUGCUGAUCCAUAGCGUGCAGUAACAACGCAACACAAGCACAGAAGAGGA